rnacentral:rRNA from 1 species
CUAUGGUUUAUUGGAUCGUGCCCGUUAGAUGGAUAACUGUAAUAACUCUAGAGCUAAUACAUGCCUCGAUGCCCUGACCCUGCUCGUGUCUGCCUUGCUUGCAUGUGGUGGGGGAUGGGUGCACUUAUUAGAUCAGAAGCCAACCAACCAACCAACCAACUGUGCGUGUGCGGCCCACCGCGAGGUGGUCGCCGCGUGCGUUGAGACGCUCACUUCUGGUGACUCUGGAUAAUUGUUACAGAUCGCAGUCGGCGCUGAGUCGGCGACGGGUCCUUCAAAUGUCUGCCCUAUCAACUUUCGAUGGUUGGUGACCUGCCUACCAUGGUGGUAACGGGUAACGGGGAAUCAGGGUUCGAUUCCGGAGAGGGAGCCUGAGAAACGGCUACCACUUCCAAGGGAGGCAGCAGGCGCGCAAAUUACCCACUCCCAGCACGGGGAGGUGGUGACGAAAAAUACCGAUGCGGGACUCCCUCAAGAGGCUCCGUAAUCGGAAUGAGUGGACUCUAAACCCCUUCACGAGGAUCAAUUGGAGGGCAAGUCUGGUGCCAGCAGCCGCGGUAACUCCAGCUCCAAUAGCGUAUAUUAAAGUUGCUGCAGUUAAAAAGCUCGUAGUUGGAUCUCGGUGGCAUUGUUGCCUGUUGGUGAUUGAGCGGCGGGUGUGUGGUUAUCGGUGCGCAGUUUCCCCGGCGUCUGCAUGUUGGUGGGCCGGUGGGUGGUUUGGUUGGUGGGUUGGGCAGUUGCUCACUUGCCGCCCGGUCUGCGUGCUGGCUUGGUCAUUCACUUGCAGCGGUGUUUGGGGGCGCUGUGCGGUCGUGGCCGUGAGCAAGCACUGUCGCGUCAAGCCGACAAGGUGGUGGUGUCGCCUGUAAGCCAUGUCUGUGGUGUAGUCGUCGCAGGUGUGGGCGGGUGUUGGGCAGUGCUCUGCACACGCUGUGGAGCCUGUCGGCUCGUCCACAUGCCCGCGGAUGCCCUUGAUUGGGUGUCUGCGGGCGGAUGGCACGUUUACUUUGAACAAAUUUGAGUGCUCAAGUCAGGCCGAUGUUGCCUGUAGGGUUUUGCAUGGAAUAAUGGAAGAGGACUUCGGUUCUAUUUCGUUGGUUUUCGGAUCCGAAGUAAUGAUCAAAAGAGACAGGCGGGGGCGUUUGUAUGGCUGCGCUAGAGGUGAAAUUCAUGGACCGUAGCCAGACAAACUAAAGCGAAGGCAUUCGUCAAGCAUGUUUUCAUUGGCCAUGAGCGAAAGUCAGAGGCUCGAAGACGAUCAGAUACCGUCCUAGUUCUGACCAUAAACGAUGCCAACUGACGAUCCGUGGUGGUAGUGAUGUUGCCUUCCCCACGGGCAGUCGCCGGGAAACCGUUAAGUGUUUGGGUUCCGGGGGAAGUAUGGUUGCAAAGCUGAAACUUAAAGGAAUUGACGGAAGGGCACCACCAGGAGUGGAGCCUGCGGCUUAAUUUGACUCAACACGGGAAAACUCACCCGGGCCGGACACUGCGAGGAUUGACAGAUUGAGAGCUCUUUCUUGAUUUGGUGGUUGGUGGUGCAUGGCCGUUCUUAGUUGGUGGAGCGAUUUGUCUGGUUAAUUCCGAUAACGAACGAGACUCCAGCCUGCUAAUUAGUGCGUUCGUCCACUGUGCCCGCGAGGGUGACGUUGGACGUUACCGUCUGCCGCGGGGACGCAGUUUGCGCUCCUCUCUUCCCCUCUCUCCUCUCCUCCCCUCUUGCACUUCGUGUUGGGGGGGGGGGAGUGGGGUGGGGUGAGGGAUUGGGUGUGCAGGUUGACGCUCGUGGUUGGUUAGUCUGGCGUUGGCCUGUGGGUGCGGCGCGAAUGCUUACUUCUUAGAGGGACAAGCGGGAGAAGCCGCACGAGAUAGAGCAAUAACAGGUCUGUGAUGCCCUUAGAUGUCCGGGGCCGCACGCGCGCUACAAUGACGGUGUCAGCGAGUGGGACCUUCUGGCCCGAGAGGGUUGGGCAAACUGGUCAAUCACCGUCGUGACAGGGAUCGGGGAUUGGAAUUGUUCCCCGUGAACGAGGAAUUCCUAGUAAGUGCAAGUCAUAAGCUUGCGCUGAUUACGUCCCUGCCCUUUGUACACACCGCCCGUCGCUACUACCGAUUGAAUGGUUUAGUGAGGUCCUUGGAUCGGCGUCAUUGUGGCGAUUGCCGGAAGGUUGCUGCCCUGCCGUCGCUGAGAAGACGACCAAACUUGAUCAUUUAGA